rnacentral:rRNA from 1 species
GGGCGGGGGCACGGGGGGACUCCUACGGGAGGCAGCAGUAAGGAAUAUUGGUCAAUGGACGCAAGUCUGAACCAGCCAUGCCGCGUGAAGGAUGAAGGCCCUCUGGGUUGUAAACUUCUUUUAUCUGGGAAGAAAUGCCUGUUUUUUAACGGGUUUGACGGUACCAGAGGAAUAAGCACCGGCUAACUCCGUGCCAGCAGCCGCGGUAAUACGGAGGGUGCAAGCGUUAUCCGGAUUCACUGGGUUUAAAGGGUGCGUAGGUGGGUUGGUAAGUCAGUGGUGAAAUCUCCGUGCUUAACAUGGAAACUGCCAUUGAUACUACUGAUCUUGAAUUUUCUGGAGGUAAGCGGAAUAUGUCAUGUAGCGGUGAAAUGCUUAGAUAUGACAUAGAACACCGAUUGCGAAGGCAGCUUACUACAGCGAUAUUGACACUGAGGCACGAAAGCGUGGGGAUCAAACAGGAUUAGAUACCCUGGUAGUCCACGCCCUAAACGAUGGAUACUCGACAUUUGUGAUAGACAAUAAGUGUCUGAGCGAAAGCAUUAAGUAUCCCACCUGGGAAGUACGACCGCAAGGUUGAAACUCAAAGGAAUUGACGG